rnacentral:pre_miRNA from 1 species
UUUAAGUGUAACUAUGAGUUUUUUUUGUCCAAUUUUAAUCGUCUGUCUUAUUUGAAAAUUUUUUUAUAAUUAGUAUUUUUGUUGUUAGGAGAUGAUAAAACAUGAAAGUACUUUACUCAUGACUUAUGUUUUUAAUUUUUUUUAAAAAAAAUUUAAAUAAAAUCAUGGGUGCAUUUAAAAUGGGAUAGAUUGACCGGAGUAUUUUGG